AGAGGGCGUGGCUCAAGCCCACGUGAACGGAGGGUGUUGAAAGCAGAGUUGGUUUGCCAGGACUUAACACUCUCAAACAUACAUUCAGUUUCAGAAGGGGACAUUUUUCACACAAUGAGUUGGACCAAGGAGAUGGGAAAGCCAGGAUUAUUUCCAAAUUCCUACAUGGGGAAUUAUUUUCAAAGACUGAGCCAGAAGCUACAAAGAUCUGACAUCAAAGCAUCCAAGAUCCAGGAAGGAGGAGGACGGUGCCUUCAUCGGGAGAGCCUGAGGAACUGAGGUACACUCCAGACUGGAUGCUCUCACAAACCGCAAGCGUCUGUGACUACUCAUCAUCCAGAAGGAGAGGAGGCCAGAGCGAAGACCAAGUUCUAAUCCCGUCCCUUUGACGUCUAAAGAUUCACAUGGCUGAAGAAAAGGACAAAAUUACCAGAGCAUCUGCAGAAUCGUAACGUGCCUACACGGCCUCUGACCCACUCUACCCGAGAGUCCAGGCCUGUCGUGAGUGUUGCAAACCAGGUGUUAUAGCUAGCUUUUCUGUUGCUAUACUAAACUUAAAAAAAGCAUCUUGCAGAGGACCAGGUUUGUUUCCACGGCUUACGUGUCUCCAUCACAGCUCGCCAUAAAGGGAAGUCAGGCAGGAAGUCAGGCAGGAACUCAGACAGAGCGUGAGCCUGGAGGCAGGAACUGAGGCAGCGAGAUGAGGGAGGAGUGCUGCUUACUCUCUAUGGCCUGCUCAGCUUGCUUCCUUCCACAGCUCAGGUCUCUCUGAGCCCAGGGUAGCACCUCCCACCGUGGGCUAAGCCUUCCUACAUCCAUUAGCAAUUGGGUGAGGUUCCCUCUUCCUAGGUGACUCCAGAUUUGUGGUAGUUGACCACUGAAGCUAACUCUGACACAGGCCUUGAGCCCUGUGCUGGUUUUGGCAGAAGCAUUACGUGUAGGAAAGGCAAAUCCAUAUGCAGAAGAAGUACUCCGGUAAGAACAAAACACGGCCCUUUCCAUGAAAGAAUGAUCUAAUGUAGUCAACCUGCCACCAGGUUGCUGGCUGGUCACCUCGAGGGAUGGUGCCAUAUCUGGGGCUCACUGUUGGUCUCUGCUGUUGGCAGAUCUGGCAUUCAGCAACAACUGUAACCAGAUCAGCCUUGGUGAGUGGAGUCCGUGUUAUUGAGCCCAAGCAUAACCCUUAUCUUGGCCACCAUGGCCAGUUUAUUCAUGUUUCCAUUGAGCAAUGACAGAGGUGACUGGAGAAGGAUGCUGACUGUCCACAGAACAGGUCAUCUUAUCCACUUGAUUACUGAACUCCUUCUUGGCUAAAGUCACCUUUUGAUGAGCACUUACCUGGGACACAAAUAUCUUCACAUCCUUUGCUGGUUUGGAGACAUCUAUCCACAUACUUCUUCCCCAGAAGUCUUUCUCACUGAUUUUUCCAAUCACGAUUUUCCCAAGUCCCUGACCAUCCAGCCAAUCAAUUCGCAAUGUGGUAUUGGGUAUUGAUCAGCUCUCAGAUUAUGUACAGGAAGGAGGUUCACUGGGUCACAACUGUGCCGUUGAUCUCAGGUAACUGGAACGGUAGAAAACAGAACUGGGAGAGAGAGGACUAUAGUACCACUCAUCACACCACAAUGGGGACAUACAGCCUGCCCAGUGCCAAGAGUCAUCCCAACGGAAGUCCAGGAGAAUGGGGAAUGGAUAGUCACCCUGCAAAAGCCCUUGCUGAUCCAGAAGUAGAAUUCCUGUCUCUUUCUCCAGCAUCAUGCCUGUCUGUAUCCUGCCGUGCUUCUCGCCAUGACAAUAAAGGGCUAGUCUGAACUUGUAAUCCAGCCCUAUUAAAUGUUUUCCUUUGUAAGAGU
ensembl:lincRNA Gm5099 predicted gene 5099